rnacentral:sRNA from 1 species
GGGUUGGUAAGGGCAAUAUAGUCAACAUCUGUCAUUCCAUUGCUUGUCAGUAUCAUUUUAGCUGAUUUGUCUGACUGGGCAGGUGUCCCCUCUCUCCCUCAGUGCUCCAUGUGCAUCCCUCUUGAAGCUUCGUACUCUGUUGAAGAGGACACUCAUCCCAGGUAGAGAGGUGGGUGGGAAACGGGGCCAGUUAAAUCUAUGUCCUUUUCUUUCCAUCACAUCAAGGCUGCUUAACUUCCUAAGGUCCCU